rnacentral:rRNA from 1 species
CAAUCGAACCCGGAGAUAGCUGGUUCUCCUCGAAAUAGCUUUAGGGCUAGCCUCGACUUAGUCAGACGGAGGUAGAGCACUGAAUUCCUGAGGGGGCGUCAAAGCCUGCCAAGGGAUAUCAAACUGCGAAUGCCGUCCUGAUGAUGGUCGGGAGUCAGACUGCACGAGAUAAGUUGGGCAGUCAAAAGGGAAAGAGCCCAGACCUACAGCUAAGGUCCCAAAAUACGUGUUAAGUGGAAAAGGAUGUGGGAUUUCGAAGACAGCUAGGAUGUUGGCUUAGAAGCAGCCACACAUUCAAAGAGUGCGUAAUAGCUCACUAGUCGAGAGGUCCUGCGCCGAAAAUUUCCGGGGCUGAAACACGAUACCGAAGCUUAGGAAUGUAGCAAUACAUUGGUAGAGGAGCAAUCUCAGAGUGCCGAAGCGCUACCGCAAGGAAGCGUGGAGUUCUGAGAAGAGAGAAUGCCGGAAUGAGUAGCGAGAAUGAUGUGAGAAUCAUCAUGGCCGAAUAUCCAAGGAUUCCAGGGUAAAGCUGAUCUGCCCUGGGUAAGUCGGGACCUAAGGCGAGGGAGAGAUCCGUAGUCGAUGGACAGCAGGUUCAUAUUCCUGCACCUGACAUGAUCAGAACUGUGGGGACACAGGAACAAAACCGGACCCGGGAGAGCAAAGACCGGGCGAAGCGAAGCUAGGAGUGCGGUAGGCAAAUCCGCCGCACAAUCCGAAAGCGUGACAGGGAGCGAAAUAUAAGUAGCGAAGCCGGUGGAGGAACUGUCGAGAAAAGCCGCUAUUGUAUCAUGUCAGCCCGUACCGCAAACCGACACAGGUGGAUGAGGAGAGAAUCCUAAGGCCGGCGGGAGAAGCAUUGUUAAGGAACUCGGCAAAAUGACCCCGUAACUUCGGGAGAAGGGGUGCUGCAGAGAUGCAGCCGCAGAGAAAAGGCUCAAGCAACUGUUUAGCAAAAACACAGGUCUAUGCGAAACCGUAAGGUGAGGUAUAUGGGCUGACGCCUGCCCGGUGCUGGAAGGUUAAGAGGAGAGGUUAGCUAAGGCGAAGCUUUGAAUUUAAGCCCCAGUAAACGGCGGCCGUAACUAUAACGGUCCUAAGGUAGCGAAAUUCCUUGUCGGGUAAGUUCCGACCCGCACGAAAGGCGUAAUGAUUUGAGCGCUGUCUCAACAAUGCACCCGGUGAAAUUGAAGUACCAGUGAAGAUGCUGGUUACCCGCGCCAGGACGGAAAGACCCCAUGGAGCUUUACUCCAGUUUGGUACUGGGAUUCGGUGCUGCAUGUACAGGAUAGGUGGGAGACUGAGAGCCCAGGACGUCAGUCCUGGAGGAGUCGCUGUUGGGAUACCACCCUUGCAGUAUUGGAUUUCUAACCUGCGGCCGUGACCCGGUCGGGGGACAAUGCCAGGCGGGGAGUUUGACUGGGGCGGUCGCCUCCGAAAGGGUAUCGGAGGCGCUCAAAGGUUCCCUCAGAAUGGUCGGAAACCAUUCAAAGAGUGCAAAGGCAGAAGGGAGCUUGACUGCGACACCGACGGGUGGAGCAGGUACGAAAGUAGGACUUAGUGAUCCGGUGGUAUAAAGUGGGAUUGCCAUCGCUCAACGGAUAAAAGCUACCCUGGGGAUAACAGGCUUAUCACUCCCAAGAGUUCACAUCGACGGAGUGGUUUGGCACCUCGAUGUCGGCUCAUCGCAUCCUGGGGCUGAAGUCGGUCCCAAGGGUUGGGCUGUUCGCCCAUUAAAGCGGUACGCGAGCUGGGUUCAGAACGUCGUGAGACAGUUCGGUCCCUAUCCGUCGUGGGCGUAGGAAAUUUGAGAGGAGCUGUCCUUAGUACGAGAGGACCGGGAUGGACGUAUCAAUGGUGUACCAGUUGUCACGCCAGUGGCAUAGCUGGGUAGCUAAAUACGGAAGGGAUAAGAGCUGAAAGCAUCUAAGCAUGAAGCCCCCCUCGAGAUGAGAUUUCCCACGGAUAUUAAGACCCCUUGAAGACGACAAGGAGAAUAGGUUAGGAGUGUAAGCACGGUAACGUGUUCAGCUGACUAAUACUAAUAGGUCGAGGACUUAAUCAA